UACGUAGGGUGCGAGCGUUGUCCGGAAUUAUUGGGCGUAAAGGGCUCGUAGGCGGUCUGUCACGUCGGGAGUGAAAACCCAGGGCUCAACCCUGGGCCUGCUUCCGAUACGGGCAGACUAGAGGUAUGCAGGGGAGAAUGGAAUUCCUGGUGUAGCGGUGAAAUGCGUAGAUAUCAGGAGGAACACCAAUGGCGAAAGCAGCUCGCUGGGACGGUACUGACGCUGAGACGCGAAAGCGUGGGGAGCAAACAGG
rnacentral:rRNA from 1 species